rnacentral:lncRNA from 1 species
CUCCAAAGGGCUCCAUUUACUGGGUUUUUAUACUUCUCAGAAUAUUGAUCAAACCAUAGAUUUUCUGUAGUCUCACAGCAAAGCCUGCAAUCCCACCGGCAACCGCGUGACAACCUCAAGCCAGUCACCUUUCCAGGCCCAACAACUGUCCUGUGAAUACAGGGUGCUCACGGGAACGGCUCCAUCAGCCCCGCACGCCAGUCAGUGCCAUCUCCAAAUGGUCAUUUGGUCUCAAGUUUAGCUUCUGUCUUAAUGUCUAUGGUUUUGGCUGAAGUCAUAUGGUGUUAUUGAAGCCGAGAACAAAAUCAGCAGAUUUCAUCUGACAUUAUUGCAUAUGGGUUCAUGAGGUUUUGUGGUUUCUUCAUCAAACAUGUAGUUAAAUGUUAUGAAACGGAACCAUAACAACCUUGUCCAGGAAAAAUCUAUGUGUCUAUUGAGGCACCAAAUGUGCUUUCAAGCUGAAUGGUUGGCAGGGCUGGAGAAGAUUAGCCUAGAGUUUAGUAAACCUGCCCAGGUGAACCACUGAAUCUUGCAAUUAAGUUGCUUCUAAUGACUUCACAUUUGGGAACAAAAAUAAACUUUAAAAAGAGAACUAGUACAAAAAAAACAGUGUCCUUCUGACUAUUCUAACGCCCCAGAGGUCAGAUGUUGAAUUGCAGCUUUGACCAAUUUCCAUGGGAGAAUUGCACAUUUAAAAAAAUAAACUUUUCUUCAAAGCUAGUGAGGCAGAGGGAGACACCUUCAUCUCCCUCCCGCCCUUCUUAGCUCCUCCAGGGCUGGCCAUCCUGUCUGCAACGCGGAUUCUUCUGCAUUUACACAUGUGAUAUUUACAGUGAAUGAAAGCUUUAUACUCAUUAUUCAUAAUAAUAAUAUCAAGUGCCUCUUAGUUCCAGGAACUGUUUCUCUUCAUUGCCCCCCUCUUUAAGUUAACAUGCAGGGAAAGAAAGAAAGAAAAGAAAAAGAAAAAGAUUUCUACCAGAUACGAAGCUACAGUGAGAAGGGUUCUGCCAGCAGCCACGUUCCUCAGCCCAACUCAUUAAUUCUGUGCCCCUGAGUCACAGCCGCCGGACAGAGCAGAAUCUCUCCCUGGAGGCAUUUCUAUGCCAGUGAGAAGGACAGUGGCACCAAACACGCAGAGUGCACAGUCACUGGUGAAGGUGACACUCACCAGAGGUUUGUGGCCUUUGCACCUGGAAGAUCAGAGCUUCUCUCUCUGAGAUGAGCUGACACAGCAUGCCAGGCAGAGACAGCCUCGGAAGUCUGGAGGUCCUGAGACUCCCCUGGAAGGAGGACACAGAAAUGAGGUGCACUCACCCUCCUGGGGCCAGGUUGCACGCACAAGCUGGAGACUCCAACCUCACGGAGCUGCCCCUCCAGUGGAAAGAGGCAGGAGCCACACCACCCACAGGUGGAUAAGUAAUCUCGGAUAGCGCCAGGGGCUGCAAUGGAAAUUAAAAUGGAAACAGGACCAGCAGCCAUGGGGCUGGGCAGCCCAGUGUUUUUAGGCAGAGGGGUGAGGAGGCAGCCUGGGGCUGAUGCCUGGAUCUGAAGAAGGAGUGAGCUGUGUGAGAUUUAGAGAGUCAUGCCAAGUGGAGGGAACAGCAGACUCAGUGGCAGCCAGGGGAGGAAGCGGUGUGGGGAGGUGGGAACGGUGAGGUGGGCAUGGGGAUGUGGGCACGGGGAGGUGGGCAGUCUCUCCAUGGCCUGCCUUGAGAAGGAGAGGAGAGGACGAAGGCAGGACAUCCUUGUUUUUAAGGCAGGAGCUUUAUUAUUGUUAUUUUUUAACGUAGAAGAGGUUAAAGCUUGGUCUCUGCUAUUGAGGUAAUAUGUCUGGCGGGGAAGUGGAGGCUGUGGGAUAGACAGAUUUCAGGGGCACGACUCUGGAGUCCGGGAAAGGGAUGCCGCUAUGCCUGGUGUCUGUGCAAUGCCCAGAGGGGUGGCCCUGGGCUCCAACAGGAGUGGGGGUGUUUCCAUCUGUCAGAGGGAAAAUUGAAGAUGUUUCAGGAAGCUUGGUGGCUUCUGCAUUUUCCCCAAAGCAGGUGCCGCGUGUCACCAAGAGGAAAAGCCAUCAGCUGAGAACUGAGGGUCUCCAAGGGCAUUUGGGGGGUUGAGGAGGAAAGAAUGAAAUGUUCCCUUGGAGACAUAUCCUGGGAUUUUGGGGAGAGUGGAGUCCAGAGAGAGAAGGAGCAGCACCUGGAAGGAGGCUGAACGUGUGUGCGAGAGUCAGUCAGUGCUCCCCUUGCAUCCAUUCGCAUGCACGGCCGGGUCUCUGCCGACCUCCUCCAGGCCCCCAGCCCUUCCCAGGCUAGCCUGCCUCCUGCCUCACAGAGGAAAAUCACACGCGCAACCGCAGCUCGUACAGCAGGUGGGUCCAUGGCCACGUUGAUGUUAAAACGUUCAUUUUUGGAAGGCCCAGAGGCCAGAAGACAGCUCAGGCAGCCUCCCCACGGCGGCGCACGCUGUCAGAUGCGACCCAGCCUCACUUAAAACUUCAAAGACACGCGUUUCAAGGUGGGCCUGGAGUGCUGUUCUUUUCACUGAUUUUUCUCAGUUUGUCGUCCGUUGAGUGGAUUCGGAGCUCUUUCAUCUGGGCGGUCACAUCAUCCACUCAUCCUGCAGAACCAACAAAAAGCCACAGUUGCACUGGACCGUUUCCCGCCAUUUUUCCUACGUGUGUGUGGCUGUCAGAAAAUGACCCAUAUUUACUUUGAAAUAAUACUUCCCGCCUUUGUUCCAUGUAAAUCUAAUUUAUGUUUACUGUUGAUUUAAGGAAGUGCAGGCAAGGAUAUGGAAGAAAUUUAAAUAACUUCUGUUUCUGCCACCCAGAGAGAACCUACUGUUAACAUUUUCUGUCAGGCUUUUUAUACACAUAUUUAUAUAAUUGAGAUUAUUCUGUAUAUACAAUUUUAGUCUUUGUUCCCUCCCGCCCCACCCAGUAUUACUUUGUAAGUAAUGGAGCCCAAUCUGUGGUUCCCCCACGAUAAAGUUAUUCUUUACUCUCAUUGAACAUAUGAACACUUUCUUAUUUUUAAAAAUUCUUAUUCUUUAGUACUACAAAUAAUACUGUGGCAAAAUGUUUUAUACCUUUUCCUGAAAUGGCGAUUUUCUUGAGUCCUACGGGAAGUUUUACCAGGUCAAAGCUCAGGAACUUAAGGUUUGG